rnacentral:rRNA from 1 species
AUACGUAGGUGACAAGCGUUAUCCGGAUUUACUGGGCGUAAAGGGCGUGUAGGCGGUCUUGCAAGUCAGAAGUGAAAUUCCUGAGCUCAACUCGGGCGCUGCUUCUGAAACUGCAGGACUUGAGUGCUGGAGGGGAUAGCGGAAUUCCUAGUGGAGCGGUAAAAUGCGCAGAUAUUAGGAAGAACACCGGUGGCGAAGGCGUCUAUCUGGACAGUAACUGACGCUGAGGCGCGAAAGCGUGGGGAGAAAACAGGAUUAGAUUCCCUGGUAUUCCACGCCGUAAACGAUGAAUACUAGGUGUAGGGGGUAUCGACUCCCUCUGUGCCGCAGUUAACACAAUAAGUAUUCCGCCUGGGGAGUACGGCCGCAAGGUUGAAACUCAAAGGAAUUGACUGGG